rnacentral:rRNA from 1 species
AUUGAACGCUGGCGGCAGGCCUAACACAUGCAAGUCGAGCGAGCGGCGGAGGGGUGAGUAAUGUAUGGGGACUGCCCGAUAGAGGGGGUUAACUACUGGAAACGGUGGCUAAUACCGCAUACUAUCGGAUAACCCCCAGGGGAUGAGCUAGUAGGUGGGGUAAAGGCUCACCUAGUCGACGAUCUCUAGCUGGUCUGAGAGGAUGAUCAGCAAUCCUGUGACUGAGACACGGCCCAGACUCCAACGGAGGCAGCAGUGGGGAAUAUUUCACAAUGGGCGCAAGCCUGAUGCAGCCAUGCCGCGUGUAUGAAGAAGGCCUUAGGGUUGUAAAGUACUUUCAGCUGGGAGGCGUUACCCGCAGAAGAAGCACCGGCUAACUCCGUGCCAGCAGCCGCGGUAAUUC